UUCUGAGCAUGAAGUCUUUCCUUCCAAGUAUGGGACAGGAUCUUCUCCGUAAUGGGGGUCAUAUAACCUACAGUCAAAUAAGGGACUGUGUUAUGCACUUCAGAUGAGGAAUACAAAAUACAAAAUUCCUUAUAAGUUGUGGAAUAAAAGAUGCAAGACAAAACAAGCAGUGCCGAAGACACACGGACCACAUUAAUCAGAAAGAAGCAGGGUGCUAAAUGAAGAGGCCAAGAGAUCCUCUUGGGAUAUCUGGGAUUAUUUCACAGAGAAGAAACCUAAAUUCUUAACCUAGAUUCUCAAAGUAUGAGGAGUAAGCAAGCAGAUACUGCGAGUAGAGAUGACACCAAUGAAAACACAAUGGACAUGAGAAAAUAAGGGCACUGCAAACACAAUUACACACCCAAAGCCUAAUUUUCAACUAAGGAAACUUGAGUCCCAGACUGCCCAGCAUUGUAAAAUGUACGAAGAGAUUUAGGUUUUAUUCUUCAGCAGACAAAAUGCACUGACUUUUUUUGUUUGUUUGUUUAAUUGAGGAGUGGUAUGAUUCCAUAACGGAUUUAAAAGAGUAAAUGUGUUAGGACUGGGAGAUUGAUUGGCAUGGGAAGAUGAUAGCAAGGAGACCAGGCUAUUAGAGG
rnacentral:lncRNA from 1 species